ACAAAACAUAUACAUUCUACCUAUCCCCAGAUAGCUUAGAUCUGAGCGCACAAAAGUACCGAAUAGCGCUCAGAUGCUAUGCACACAGUCCAAUCGCCGUGGAGUUAAAGUGUUCACAAAGUCUGUUCUCCAUACGAAUAGACUCCACGGGAUGGCUAUCUGGGGUAAUGCUGUUCAUACAGUUUAAACUACCGAAUGAACAGGCAUCUGGUUAAAUGACCGAAUCCAGAAGCAAGGAGGCCGACGGCUCAGCG